CCUACGGGCGUCAGCAGUGAGGAAUAUUGGUCAAUGGACGAGAGUCUGAACCAGCCAAGUAGCGUGAAGGAUGACUGCCCUAUGGGUUGUAAACUUCUUUUAUAUGGGAAUAAAAUGUUCCACGUGUGGGCUUUUGUAUGUACCCUAUGAAUAAGGAUCGGCUAACGCCGUUCCAGCAGCCGCGGUAAUCCGGAGGAUCCGAGCGUUAUCCGGAUUUAUUGGGUUUAAUGGGAGCGUAGGUGGAUUGGUAAGUCAGUUGUGAAAGUUUGCGGCUCAACCGGAACAUUGCAGUUGAAACUGGCAGGCUGGAGUAAAGUAGAGGUGGGCGGAAGUCGUGGUGUAGCGGUGAAAUGCUUAGAUAUCACGAAGAACACCGAUUGCGAAGGCAGUUCACUGGACUGCAACUGACACUGAGGCUCGAAAGUGUGGGUAUCAAACAGGAUUAGAUACCCUAGUAGUC
rnacentral:rRNA from 1 species